GUAGGUGGCAAGCGCUGUCCGGAAUUAUUGGGCGUAAAGCGCGCGCAGGCGGUCCUUUAAGUCUGAUGUGAAAGCCCACGGCUCAACCGUGGAGGGUCAUUGGAAACUGGGGGACUUGAGUACAGAAGAGGAAAGCGGAAUUCCAAGUGUAGCGGUGAAAUGCGUAGAGAUCUGGAGGAACACCAGUGGCGAAGGCGGCUUUCUGGUCUGUAACUGACGCUGAGGCGCGAAAGCGUGGGGAGCAAACAGGGAUUAGAUACCCUGGUAGUCCACGCCGUAAACGAUGAGUGCUAAGUGUUAGGGGGUUUCCGCCCCCUUAGUGCUGCAGCUAACGCAUUAAGCACUCCGCCUGGGGAGUACGGCCGCAAGGCUG
rnacentral:rRNA from 1 species